GCCUCCGAGGAUGAACAAAAAUAAAACUUUCGUUCUUCUUAGCUGUUUCCAUGCGGAAAAAUAUUGGAGACCUGAACUGAGGAGGC
rfam:Glycine soja cultivar W05 scaffold2158_46, whole genome shotgun sequence.